UUAAAUGGCCGCAGUAUUUUGACUGUGCAAAGGUAGCAUAAUCAUUAGUUUCUUAAUUAGAAGCUGGAAUGAAAGGUUGAACGAAAAAAUAACUGUCUCUUUAUAAAUUUAUUUGAAUUUUAUAUUUAAGUUAAAAAGCUUAAAUAUUUUUAAAAGACGAGAAGACCCUAUAGAGUUUUAUAUAAUUUUUUAUAAUAGUUUUAUUUUUAAUUAUAAAAAUUUUAUUUAUAAUUAUAUUUAGUUGGGGUGAUUGAAAAAUUUAAUAAACUUUUUUUUUAUUAAACAUUUAUAUAUGAUUAAUUGAUCCAUUAUUAAUGAUUAAAAGAUUAAAUUACCUUAGGGAUAACAGCGUAAUUUCUUUUUAGAGUUCAAAUCGAUAAAGAAGUUUGCGACCUCGAUGUUGGAUUAAAAUAAAGUUUUGGUGUAGAAGCUAAAAUAUUAGGUCUGUUCGACCUUUAAAAUUUUACAUGAUCUGAGUUUAAACCGGUGUAAGCCAGGUUGGUUUCUAUCUUUAAAUAAUUAAAAUAUUUUAGUACGAAAGGACCAAAUAUUUAAAAUAUUUUUUAAAUUUUGAAUAAUAAUAAAU
rnacentral:rRNA from 1 species